rnacentral:rRNA from 1 species
UAUUAAACGGCCGCAGUAUCCUGACUGUGCAAAGGUAGCAUAAUAAUUUGCCCUCUAAUUAGGGGCUGGUAUGAAUGGAAAAACGAAAUUAUAACUGUCUCUUUUUUAAAUAUAAAAACUAAACUACAAGUGAAGAUGCCUGUAUUAUACUAAAGGACAAAAAGACCCUGUUGAGCUUUACCUACAAUAAAUUUUAAUAAUUUAUUAAGGUUUAGUUGGGGCGACUAAGGAAAACUAAAGCUUCCAUUUAUAUAAAGACAUAUAUGUCUAACAAAUGAUCUGUAUAAACAACCAAUAGAAAAGCUACCACAGGGAUAACAGACUAAUCCUCCUCAAGAGUUCAAAUUGACAGGAGGGCUUGGCACCUCGAUGUUGGCUUAAGGUAUCCACUAAGUGCAGCAACUUAGUAGGUAGGUUUGUUCAACCUUUAAAAUCUUACA